AGAAGGGUAGCUGAUAACCAAAUAACACAUCUAAUUUCCAACUGAACUGAAUUGCAGAUUCCAGCUGCAUCUAGUCUUAAUGACAUCGUCCUGGAUACUCUACCUGACCAUCUACCUGAAACUCAACCACUUGCAAUCCUUGCCUAGCCUUAAGUGAAUCAUCUUUAUCCCUAGCUGAAAAGGGUUAGAAAUAAUAGCAAGAAUGAGCAAUAAUGCUCAGCAAGAAUAUGAUAGGUGAAAGCCACAAGAUAUAUAUAUAUUUAAGUGAAUCAGAAUGUUUGAAGUAAAAGUAAACUCUGGUUUAAACAUGAUGUUGUAAAUCAACAGUUCAGUAUAAAAGAGUAAAAUGGUAUACAAUGAUAAAGCAGUUCUGCACCAAUAUAUGAUUUUAAAGCUGUAGAGAUAAAAAUAACUUCCAUUAUCUUUUGAACAUAAGAUAAUCUCCUUUGAAACUAAUCAAUAUUUAAUUGGGUUUAAAUAAGACACCUGGCUAUAACAGAUGAUCAGUCAUGCUAUAGUCCAUAAACCAAGCUUAUUCAGCAAGGUCGACAAAUAUUACGAAUUCCGGUAAUCCGGGCUGAAGGAGCCACCUUUCACGCUGGGCCGAUGUCUGAGCCUCUUACGCAAAACUACCCAAUAUAUUAAAUUUAAAAACUACAGCUUUACAAUGAUUUGAGAAAUUCAAGAAUUCAAGUGGUCUUUCUUGUUAAGCAAAUUUCUUUUCUAGCAAAUCAAAAUAAUUACUACUUUAGUAGUUUGAAAAUCUUUUAUGAAAAUCGAAGUUUAGAUAGCGGGUCAAAGGUAUUAUCAAUUCAACUGAAGGUAUUCAAUUACCAGACAUGCUUCACAAGAAUGAUGUCACGAUAAAAAUGAAUCAUGUUUAAAAGAGAGUUCGGGGUCAAGAGGAAGAUAAAAAUCGCUUACUCUUAACUACAAGAGAAGGAUAGAAAUACUUGCCUUAACUCCGAUGUCUAGUCACGAUUCUAAUAGCACUAUACCGCACAAUCAUAUCUUUCUAAGCAGCUUCUGACAAUACUCUUUCUACGUCUGUCAUCUCAGAUUAUUCUUGCUUCAACUUGCAACACCAUCGGAUUAAUUCUGAACAUUCUCGAUAUACACGUCUUGAUCUAUUCUACACGAUAGUAGGAUAAUAUCUCAGUCAUCGGAUUAAAAGAACUAGCUAAUUCCAAAUAGUAUAGGAACCGCGAACAUCUACCCUUCGCAUAUCCGUAUAUAGUAAACAUGAAUAUAUACAGAUAUCCACAUAACAAUAUAUACACAUUGGAUCAGUCGGCACAUAACCACAUAGUCAAUAAACAAUCAAUACAUAUUCCAGUGCACAUAUAAUAUAAUGCUAUUAACUAUCAAAUAUUUAUUAAUCAAUAAACACCGCUAAUUUUUAACAAAAUUUCGGCAGCAUCUCCUCUAUUUAUCGGACUACCCACCUGUUUACAAUACCAACAACCAACCAAUACUAUUGCUAACACGUGAAUUAUUAAUAUAAAAGGAUGUCUUGACUUAGUAACACAUAAGAAAAUCUUUUAGCACAAUUGCUAAUUCACUAUACACAAAAGACGUUUAAUAUAAAUAUGCAAGGUCAACUGAGCCAAUAAAUUUAAUAAUCAAUCAUAUGCAAUCUACCUCAUACUAUGCACUAACAAAGAAAGAAAAUUUGAGCAAAUAUUUCAAACAGCCUUCACUCUAUGAUUUUUAAUAAAUUGAAAAUUUAUCACUUUAAUAUGAAAUUUUUAUGAGACAUUCCUAAACAUUAUUCCAAUCUACUACAAAACUUUCAGAAGCAAAUUCAAUGUGUUACGGAUUAAAACAGGGCCUGUAAGUCAGGACCUGAAUCUGUCCUGCAGAACCAGCCCCACGCUAAGAAUUUUAAUAUAUAGAAAAAUUGGUCCAUUUGUAUAAAAUUUUGAUGACACAUUCCAGGCCCGAACAUCUAACUCCAGUAAAAUUUUCAGAAGCAAAUUACAAUUACAAGGUAGCAUAACAGGGCCUGGAACAGGACACAUAAAUCUGCCCAGAAUUUUCUGCGCAUACCAUACUAAAACGGUCAUAUCUCCUAACUCGCUAAUCGAAUCGAUUCGAUUCUUUCGCGCACAUAAACUAGACUCUGAGGAGCACAUGAAUCUAAUAAAAUCACAGCUUAGGCAUGAUGUUAAGCUAUUCAAAACAGAGAUCCAAACAGGGGCUGUGCUGCUGCGAAAACUUGACUUCAAGUGACUCGAUAAUUUGUAAACAAUUUCAUAUCAACCACAACCCACAUGUAUACACUGAUUUGAACUCAAAUGAAAUUAGCUACUUAAUAAUCCAAAAAUCAAUUCAAUCCAUAUAAACAAAACACCACAUAUGUAUAUACAACUGAUUAAUAAACCAAAAUCAAGCAUAUACCCCACUGUAGUUCGAAUCAACAGAUUCUAGGAUGGAGUUGGUCGUUGGAGACGGCAAAACGGCGGCGGUGUACCGUGGCAGCAGAGACGGAGCAACAGGGAGAGCAGUGGCGGCGAGAAUGAACAGUGGGAACGGAAAACGACGUUGGAAAUAGAGUGGAGGUGAAAGGAUACAUGCUACGAGGGGUUAAUUUGUCAAAGGAAGAAAGCGAUGUGAGAUUGAAAACCAUAAACGAGGGUUGGGGUUUUGAAAUUAGGGACUAUAAAAGGAAGAGCAGCAUUCGGGGGAAAAGGUACGUGGCGAGAUGAAAGAGGAAGUGUGCCGUGCGUGGCACAUCACCAAGUUUCCAUCUGUUCCCCUAAACUGAUUAAUCAAUUGUCUUACACCCGCUCUUAAUUGAUUUACAGAGAUAACUCGUAGUAAAAUUUCACCCAAAAAUUACCAAAAUAUUAUUAUAAUUCCCCGAAUAUUAUAAAACUAAUAAAAUAAAAGUUUCGGAAUUUACAGAGCAGUUUUGAAAUUUAUACGAAAUUUUUAAGUUAACUGCGUUCAGAAAAUAUUUCAAAAUAGCGCUUUCAUGAGGAUGAUAUAUUUAAAAUUUUAAAAACUCCUAAAGAUAUUUUUAUCAUUUUCAAGUAAUUAAAAGAAUUUUUCAAAUUACUUUUGUAUUUUUAGAAAUUCAUUUUGCUAUAAUCCAUUUUUAAGAGAAUCAUUGUUUAUAAAAAACACAGCAGUUAGUAACACAUAUACGCACAAGCAUGAAUCACAUUCAGAUAAUAAAGUUAAAUCAUUGAACAAGUAGUUCACAUAUUUAACAUGGUAUUCAAUUCAAAACAGACAACAAAAAUUUUGAUAACUUAAGGUACCGGAAUAAUAAUUUAAACAAAUACUUUUAAAAUUUAUCAAACUAAAAUAAAAUAUUAAAUUUUAUUCCGCAUUUUCUGAAGGAUGACAAAUAAACUAACAAAAUAAAUUUUGAAAAAUCCGGGUCGUCACAAUCUACCCCCCUUAAAAGGAUUCCGUCCUCGGAAUCAGCGAAAAGCAAACUAGAGCGUACGAUCACUGUAAUCCGUAAUACUCUUUCUUUCUUAUAUAAAAUUUUUGUUGAUCGACCCGCAUUGUCAUCCGUUU
rnacentral:lncRNA from 1 species